rnacentral:piRNA from 1 species
UCGACAUAGAUGGCUUGUAUG